AUGGCCUCCACCAACAGCUGGACCCAGGAGAUCGAGUCGGCGGUCACCGCGCCGCGCCUCUUCCGCGCCGGCGUCAUGGACUGGCACACCCUGGCCCCCAAGCUCGCGCCGCAGAUCGUCGCUAGGGCCCACCCCGUUGAGGGACAAGGCGGCAUUGGCAGCGUCAGAAUUGACCUUGCAGCCAUGCCCUUCAACCUCAUGAAGGAGAGGCUCGAGUUCAUUGACGCAGAUAAGUGCGAGUGCAAGUCGACUCUUAUCGAGGGCGGUGGCAUCGGCACGACGAUUGAGACAGCCACUUCACACAUCAAGGUGGAGCCGGCAGCAAAGAUGCGCAUUAGCUACUUUGGGCUCUUUUGGACGAAACUAGCCCCGGCAGCAGCACACCCACACAUGCAACGUUCGCCUGUAUCCCCUUCCUCCAGGACAAACGGAUUGGACUGGUGGCAGCGGGAAUCGACCUGCGGCGGCAGAGGAGGGGGAGCAGCAGGAAGCCGGUGUCUCCGCGUCCUCUGCCUGCUCCGGCAUCUUCGCGUCCGCUGCUGGUGGCCGGCCUCUCCGGCAUCACCGUGUCCGCAUCCGGCGUCUCCGGCAUAUCCGUCUCAGCCGCCGGCAUCUUCGCGUCCAUGGCUGGCCUCCGGCGUUGUUGCGUCGGCUAUUGGCGUCCCCGCGUCCGCCGCAUCCCUGGCAAACAUCUCCGCUGCCAGCCACACCAAGUGGACUAAUCUGGAGGCCACGGCCACCUCCCGUGAGGCGGAGAAGAAGAGGGAGCAGCAGGAGCUCAAGGUGUGGACGGCGUCGACGGCGUCCUCUCCGGUCGCGCGCGGAGGAAGGGACAAGGGCAGCGGCUGCCAGGACGUCUUCGUGAUGUACAACGGCCACGGCGAGCCGUGGGUGGUGGCGUGCGAGGAGCCGAUGCAUGUGGUGCUCACGGAGGAGAUGGGUAGGCGUGCGCCGGCGGACAGAUGGCGAGAGUGGAUGCCGGGAGUACCGGGGAGCUCGUCCUACAACACAACUUUCCGGGCAGCAAAUGGCGGGAGCGUGGUGAAGGUGGAAUCGACAUACAAGCUGCUUCCAGGCGUGGAGGUGAAUGAUGAGAUUACCAAGGUCAAGGAUUCUAUCACGGCCAUCUUCAAGGCCGCCGAGGCCUACCUUAUCGCCAACCCAGACGCCUACAACUAA
rnacentral:rRNA from 1 species